rnacentral:rRNA from 1 species
AGGACACGCUGGCGGCGUGCUUAAAACAUGCAAGUCGAACGGACUUCUCAUGAAGCUUGCGAUUGAGAAGUUAGUGGCGGACGGGUGAGUAACGCGUGGGCAACCUGCCCCUGAGCCCGGGAUAACAGUUCGAAAGGACUGCUAAGACCGGAUAUACUUGCGGGGAAGCAUUUCACUGCAAGGAAAGGGAACGCUCAGGGAUGGGCCCGCGUCCCAUUAGCUAGUUGGUGAGGUAACGGCCCACCAAGGCGACGAUGGGUAGCCGGCCUGAGAGGGUGAACGGCCACACUGGGACUGAGACACGGCCCAGACUCCUACGGGAGGCAGCAGUUGGGAAUCUUCGGCAAUGGGCGCAAGCCUGACCGAGCAACGCCGCGUGAGUGAUGAAGGUUUUCGGAUUGUAAAGCUCUGUCUUCCGGGACGAUAAUGACGGUACCGGAGGAGGAAGCCACGGCUAACUACGUG